rnacentral:rRNA from 1 species
CCCUUAGAUGUUCUGGGCCGCACGCGCGCUACACUGAUGCAUUCAACGAGCCUAUCCUUGACCGACAGGUCCGGGUAAUCUUUGAAUCUGCAUCGUGACGGGGAUAGAUUAUUGCAAUUAUUAAUCUUCAACGAGGAAUGCCUAGUAGGCGCCAGUCAUCAGCUUGCGUCGAUUACGUCCCUGCCCUUUGUACACACCGCCCGUCGCUCCUACCGAUUGGGUGUGCUGGUGAAAUGUUCGGAUCGGCCGUUUGUCGCGGUUUCCGCGUCAUGUGGCUGAGAAGUUCAUUAAACCCUCCCACCUAGAGGAAGGAGAAGUCGUAACA